ACCUUCUUUUCCAAAAGCGCCAUGCCAAAAUCGGCAGGUCUGAGCCUUUUGGUUUAGCCCUGCCGAUCAUGCUAGUAUGGUACGUCUCAAAGAAGGAAGAGCAACAAAAAAACGCAGCAUCGGAAACGAGUCCGGGAGGGACCUCUUUCUUAAUGUCCCGUGUCCUGCGUCUCAAGAUUCUGCGCUACACUU